AUACGGAGGGUCCAAGCGUUAUCCGGAAUCAUUGGGUUUAAAGGGUUCGUAGGCGGGUCAAUAAGUCAGAGGUGAAAUCUUGCAGCUUAACUGUAAAAUUGCCUUUGAUACUGUUGAACUUGAAUUACUGUGAAGUGGUUAGAAUAUGUAGUGUAGCGGUGAAAUGCUUAGAGAUUACAUAGAAUACCGAUUGCGAAGGCAGAUCACUAACAGUAUAUUGACGCUGAUGAACGAAAGCGUGGGUAGCGAACGGGAUUAGAAACCCUAGUAGUAC
rnacentral:rRNA from 1 species